rnacentral:lncRNA from 1 species
CCCUGUGAGGUUUGUCCCCAUUCAGUGAAGUGAGAGUGUGAAGAGACCUGGGUUAUAUUCUAGCCCAGGCUGAGCUAUUUACUGUGUGGCCUUGGAAAAUUCUCUUCUGUUCUUUGGACCUUAUUUUCCUCAUAGACAAAGUAUGGCUGUCAGCCUAGAAAAGGUUACUGUAUCAUGUCAAGAAUCAAUUGUAUUAUAAAGAGAAGAAUUUUAUUAUCUGGGAAGUAUAAUGAGAAGUAUAGUGACAUCGUAGGA